rnacentral:rRNA from 1 species
UACGGAGGGUGCGAGCGUUAGUCGGAAUUACUGGGCGUAAAGCGCGCGUAGGUGGCUUGGUAAGUCGGAUGUGAAAGCCCCGGGCUUAACUUGGGAAUUGCAUUCGAUACUGCUUAACUAGAGUAUGGUAGAGGGAAGCGGAAUUCCGGGUGUAGCGGUGAAAUGCGUAGAUAUCCGGAGGAACAUCAGUGGCGAAGGCGGCUUCCUGGACCAAUACUGACGCUGAGGUGCGAAAGCGUGGGGAGCAAACAGG